GUGCUCACUUCUGCAGCAAAUAUACUAAAUUGGAACGAUACAGAGAAGAUUAGAAUGGCCCCUCCACAUUUCUCAUUUUAAAAAGUUAUUUAUAUGU
rnacentral:snRNA from 1 species